CCCUUAGAUGUUCUGGGCCGCACGCGCGCAACACUGACGAAGUCAGCGAGCAUGUCCUACGCCGACAGGUGCGGGGAAUCUUGUCAAACUUCGUCGUGAUGGGGAUUGAUUAUUGAAAUUCUUGAUCAUCAACGAGGAAUUCCUAGUAAGCGCAAGUCAGCAGCUUGCGUUGAUUACGUCCCUGCCCUUUGUACACACCGCCCGUCGCUACUACCGAUUGAAUGGUCCGGUGAAAUCUCGGGACGGCGGCUUGGUCGCUUGCGUCCGACUGCUGAAACUUGAUUAAACCAUAUCAUUUAGAGGAAGGUGAAGUCGUAACA
rnacentral:rRNA from 1 species